rnacentral:rRNA from 1 species
UACAGAGGGUGCGAGCGUUGUCCGGAAUCACUGGGCGUAAAGGGCGCGUAGGCGGCCUGAUAAGUAGGGGGUGAAAUCCUGUGGCUUAACUGCAGGGCUGCCUCCUAGACUGUUAGGCUCGAGCACGGUAGAGGCAGAUGGAAUUCCCGGUGUAGCGGUGGAAUGCGUAGAGAUCGGGAAGAACACCAGUGGCGAAGGCGACUCGCUGGACAAGUAUUGACGCUGAGGUGCGAAAGCGUGGGGAGCAAACAGG